rnacentral:lncRNA from 1 species
GAUGUGAAGAAAUGGAGGAGACAGAACCAGAGCUUCUAGAAACCAAGAGGACAUAUGACAGCCCCUAAGGGAAAGCAGACCUGUCCCAGAAUUUGCCCAAUCUCCCAGUGAGUCAACUACUCAAACUCAUCAAGAAAGAUCCUCUUUCAUUGCAACCUCGGUCUUGCUUGCCCCGCGGGUCGGAGCGACUGCAGUGCCGCCUCCGGCCGGCAGAGGUCAACGUGCAAGCGAGGACGGCUGGACAGGGCCGCGACUGGAGCCCAGCGGGCGCGCUCACC